AUUGAACGCUGGCGGCAGGCCUAACACAUGCAAGUCGAGCGGAUGAAGGGAGCUUGCUCCUGGAUUCAGCGGCGGACGGGUGAGUAAUGCCUAGGAAUCUGCCUGGUAGUGGGGGAUAACGUCCGGAAACGGGCGCUAAUACCGCAUACGUCCUGAGGGAGAAAGUGGGGGAUCUUCGGACCUCACGCUAUCAGAUGAGCCUAGGUCGGAUUAGCUAGUUGGUGGGGUAAAGGCCUACCAAGGCGACGAUCCGUAACUGGUCUGAGAGGAUGAUCAGUCACAAGGGAACUGAGACACGGGCCAGACUCCGACGGGAGGCAGCAGGGGGGAAUAUUGGACAAUGGGCGAAAGCCUGAUCCAGCCAUGCCGCGUGUGUGAAGAAGGUCUUCGGAUUGUAAAGCACUUUAAGUUGGGAGGAAGGGCAGUAAGUUAAUACCUUGCUGUUUUGACGUUACCAACAGAAUAAGCACCGGCUAACUUCGU
rnacentral:rRNA from 1 species